UACGUAGGUGACGAGCGUUAUCCGGAUUUAUUGGGCGUAAAGCGCAGGCAGGCGGCAGAGAAAGUCUGACGUGAAAUCUCCCGGCUUAACUGGGAGCGGUCGUUGGAAACUACUUGGCUUGAGGCGAUGAGAGGGGUGUGGAAUUCCCGGUGUAGUGGUGGAAUGCGUAGAUAUCGGGGGGAACAUCAGUGGCGAAAGCGGCACCCUGGCAUUAGCCUGACGCUCAUGUGCGAAAGCGUGGGGAGCGAACGGG
rnacentral:rRNA from 1 species